GAUGAACGCUGGCGGCGUGCCUAAUACAUGCAAGUCGAGCGGUAAGGUUUCCACUCUGUAUUUAACGAGUUUGAAUAUAGGGUGGAAAUACACGAGCGGCGGACGGCUGAGUAACACGUAGGAACGUACCCCAAACUGAGGGAUAAGCACCGGAAACGGUGUCUAAUACCGCAUGUGCUCUUCGGAGUAAAGCUACGGCGGUUUGGGAACGGCCUGCGCAUGAUUAGCUUGUUGGUGAGGUAAUAGCUCACCAAGGCGACGAUCAUUAGCUGGUCUGAGAGGAUGAUCAGCCAGACUGGGACUGAGAACGGCCCAGACUCCUACGGGAGGCAGCAGUAGGGAAUUUCCUACCAAUAGGGCGGAAAGACCUCGAUAGGAGGACAACGACCGCCGU
rnacentral:rRNA from 1 species